AUUGAACGCUGGCGGCAUGCCUUACACAUGCAAGUCGAACGGUAACAGGUCUUCGGAUGCUGACGAGUGGCGAACGGGUGAGUAAUACAUCGGAACGUGCCUAGUAGUGGGGGAUAACUACUCGAAAGAGUGGCUAAUACCGCAUGAGAUCUACGGAUGAAAGCAGGGGAUCGCAAGACCUUGUGCUACUAGAGCGGCCGAUGGCAGAUUAGGUAGUUGGUGGGAUAAAAGCUUACCAAGCCGACGAUCUGUAGCUGGUCUGAGAGGACGAUCAGCCACACUGAGACUGAGACACGGCCCAGACCCCUACGGGAGGCAGCAGUGGGGAAUUUUGGACAAUGGGCGAAAGCCUGAUCCAGCAAUGCCGCGUGCAGGAUGAAGGCCUUCGGGUUGUAAACUGCUGUUGUACGGAACGAAAAGCCCCGGGUUAAUACCCUGGGGUCAUGACGGUACCGUAAGAAUAAGCACCGGCUGACUACGUGCCAGCCGCCGCCGUAA
rnacentral:rRNA from 1 species